UCCCGUGUCCCAUUAGCUUGUUGGCGGGGUAAUGGCCCACCAAGGCGACGAUGGGUAGCCGGCCUGAGAGGGUUGUCGGCCACACUGGGACUGAGAUACGGGCCAGAAUCCUACGGGAGGCAGCAGUCUGAGAAAGCUUCUUGGGAUGGGCGAAAGCCUGAGCGAGCGACACCGCGUGAGCGAAGAAAAGGCUAUAUGGUUGUGAGCUCUGUCAGAUAUGUGAAGAGAACUUCUCGGUUAAUACCCGCGAAACUUGACGGUGCCGUCAGAGGAAGCACCGGCUAACUCCGUGCCAGCAGCCGCGGUAAUACGGAGGGUGCGAGCGUUGUGCGGAUUCACUGGGUAUAAACGGUGUGCACGCGGCCUGAUAAGUCACGGGUGAAAUAUGACGGCUCAACCGUCAAACUGCCCCUGAAACUGUCAGGCUUGAGUCCGGGAGGGGAACGCGGAAUUCCUGGUGUACCGGUGAAAUGCGUAAAUAUCAGGAGGAACACCAGUGGCGAAGGCGGCCUUCUGGCCCGGAACUGACGCUCAGACACGAAAGCUAGGGGAGCGAACAGGAUUAGAUACCCUGGUAGUCCUAGCCGUAAACGAUGGGCACUAGGUGUUGGGGGAGUCUACCCCCUCAGUGCCGCAGCUAAUGCAUUAAGUGCCCCACCUGGGGAGUACGAUCGCAAGGUUGAAACUCAAAGGAAUUGACGGGGGCCCGCACAAGCGGUGGAGCAUGUGGUUUAAUUCGAUGCAACGCGAAGAACCUUACCUGGGCUUGACAUGCAGGGGACAGGUGCGGAAACGUACCCUUCUUCGGACCCCUGUGCAGGUGCUGCAUGGCCGUCGUCAGCUCGUGUCGUGAAAUGUUGGGUUAAGUCCCGCAACGAGCGCAACCCCUGUCUUCAGUUGCCAUCAGUUCGGCUGGGGACUCUGGAGAGACUGCCGGUGACAAACCGGAGGAAGGUGGGGACGACGUCAAGUCAUCAUGGCCCUUACGCCCAGGGCUACACACGUGCUACAAUGGUCGGUACAAUGGGCUGCGAUACCGCGAGGUGGAGCGAAUCCCAAAAAGCCGGCCUCAGUUCGGAUUGGAGUCUGCAACCCGACUCCAUGAAGUCGGAAUCGCUAGUAAUCGCGCAUCAGAAUGGCGCGGUGAAUACGUUCCCGGGCCUUGUACACACCGCCCGUCAAGU
rnacentral:rRNA from 1 species